rnacentral:rRNA from 1 species
UACGAAGGGUGCAAGCGUUAGUCGGAAUUACUGGGCGUAAAGCGUGCGCAGGCGGUGAUGUAAGACAGAUGUGAAAUCCCCGGGCUCAACCUGGGAACUGCAUUUGUGACUGCAUCGCUGGAGUGCGGCAGAGGGGGAUGGAAUUCCGCGUGUAGCAGUGAAAUGCGUAGAUAUGCGGAGGAACACCGAUGGCGAAGGCAAUCCCCUGGGCCUGCACUGACGCUCAUGCACGAAAGCGUGGGGAGCAAACAGG